AGGACCUCUACCAGCCAGCCUGUGGUUUUAUUCCAGUUUGUUACGUUCUGUAUUCAUGGGGGUUAAAGCACCAAUGAUUGACCUUUCUGUAGUUCAGACUCUCCACUUUAAUUUGGAGGAAAAUCAGCAUAAUCUGAAGAUAAAGCAGGCUGCGUCAAGAAAGCUCUCAUAUCCCGCCAGGGACAUCCUUGACUCUGGAGAGCAGUUCUCUGAGUUUUGCUGCCAUGUGCAGCGCACUAAGGAGGUGUGAUCUAGAAGUCGCCGUGCGCGGAUGGUGGGGAGGCUCACUGCUCUGAAAGCUAAGCACAAAUCAGCGAUGAACCGUGGCUCGCAGAAAGCCCAGGCUUGAAUGUGGCUGUCAGCUCUGCCAAGAUCCCUGGUGUGGCUCCAGGCAGGGCACUGGGCCUCCCCAGGCCUGGGUUCUCUGAUCUGCAAACUCUGGGGGUCGGAGGAGAGUUUGAAAAGGGCUCUGCCUCAGACUCUAAGGGGAGGGUGCCCCGACCCCAGGUCUCUUUGUCUGCUUUGUGCAGGUACCAUGUCGGGUGCUAGGAAAACAGUGGUGAGCAAAGACCAGAUGGUCCCUGGCAUUACGGAGUGGACGGUCGUGUGGGGAAGGCUGGCAUUCUUUGUUACCAGCAUAAAUGAAGACCCACAUCUGUGGCAGGCACCAGGAGGGAGGAGGACCCAGUGCGCUCGGGCCCCUGUGAUAACGACAAGCACGAAGGACCACCUUUGGAAAGGCGGAUGACGACGGCCCUGGCCGUCUGCACUUUGCUGGAGUAGACUGGAGGCCCUCACACCUGCGCUGCAGUCUGAGCUUGCCACUUGUCAGCAGGUGAGCUUGGGCAAGUCACGUUCCCUUUCUGGGCUUCACUUUCUCAGCUCUAAAACGUGAGUGUUCGAGCUAGACAGGGUGGUGGAGAUGACCUCAGACAGCGGGUCUCAACCAGCGCUGUGAACGAGAGUCACUCGAGAAGCUGCCAGAAAUACUGAUGCUCAGUCCCCCCCAGACCAAUAAGUCAGAAUCUCCCUGGCUGGGGCCUAGGAAUUAGGAUUUUUUAAAAAAAUUAAACACACAGUCCAAUAUUUCAUGAUUCUAUAACCUGUGCCUCAGAACUGAACCAUGUGAUGCAAUUGUAUCGGAAUAAACUGCAAGAAGCCAGAGCCUUGGGCUUGAACUCUUGGUUGAGAAGCCAUGAGUGACCUGCCUCUCUUAACAAGCAAAGUGUUUUGACCAUGAAGAAAGGAGACGUCCUUCCCUUUCCACCUCUACGUCUUUAUUGUUCUAGCUCCCAUGUCAUUCUUCUGUUACUAUCCGGAGACACCUUAAAAUCAUGUGAGGGCAUGUCUAUCUAGAGGGUUUGAAUGGUGUGUGGAAAGAACUCAGGCUUGCAGCAAACUUGGAGAUGAGUCUUAGCUUUUCCACUAACCCUGCUGGACCUCAGCCUCUUGAGUAAAAUAGAGAAAAUGAGACCUUCCCUGCAGGGUCGCUCUGAAGAUGUACUGAGGUAAUGUACGUGUAAUACAGUGCCUGGGACAGAGCUGCUCCAUAAAUGUUAAAUGAUGAAUAGAAAUGUUUGUAUAGGGAAAGGGCUAAUAUCAUUUAUAUUUAAAGGGCUUGUUGUUCGCCUUGAGACUUGUGAAGUACCCCCAACUGGAAUAUGGGCAAAGCAUAGUAAAAGAAAAUGUACAGGUAAGUACAAAGCGAUUAAACAUAUCCUCCAUCUCCACUAACUAGAGAAACUGAAAUUGAAGCAAUGAUUGACAAACAGUUGGCCAAAAGGAUGUCUGUGCCCUGCUGGUGGGAGGAAAAUGCAUCCCAAAUGUGCCACUUCCCAUGCUGUGUUAUCCAUACAGCAACACCACUUCCAAGAGCAGAAAUGCAUGUGGAUGUAAAGGGAUGUUUGUUUCACCAUUGUUUGUAAUAAAGAAGAACUGGAGAUAGCCUGAGUGUCCGUCAACAGAGGAUAGGUUAAAUUAGAGUGUAACCAUAUAAAAGGAUGCUAACACUUCACCCUUUAAAAAUACGGAGAUGGCCUGAUAUGUACUGACAUGGGAAGAUGUCUGAUUUAUUGCUCAGUGAACAAAGCUACAAACAGUAUUCACAUAGCCCUUGGUUGACUUUCCAGCUUCUGCCUCCCCAUCAGGCCAGCCUUGAAGCAGACAGCAUUGUGGUGUUGAAGGUCAUGCAUCGGGUGGGGUCGGGGGUCACUCACCGUAGGUUUGGGAGGGCCAGGGAAGUUCUAUGUACACGAGCUUCGAAGCCUUAAGGACAGACAGACUCUGAAGAAGGUUUUAGAACUGAUGGGCAGGCACCUGGGACGUAAGAAUGAGACACGUUGAAGUAAGACAGGGUGAUGAAGAGGGGUAAAGACCCCUAAAGAUGGGGGCAUGUCCCAGGUCGGUAGGGAUAAGAGGUGAGAGGGAGGCCGGGCAGAUACCUCCCGCUUGGGUCACCGUUUAAAGGCUUUAGCCAAGAAUGAGACUGACAGGGCUUGCAAUGGAAUUCAGCAAGUGCCCAUCCUCCAUGGAGAGGCCCUCAAACUGCCAAGCCCUCCCCUUAAACAGUCCUGCUCCUUCCCUUCCUGUUCUUUCAGCUGGGGAGUUGGCAGAAGAAGAAGGGGCAGGAAAUCAGAGAGGUCCCUGGGGCAGCCCUGAAAAGCAGCAGGUGGUCACAGGCCAGGAGCCCCAAGCCCAGAGCACUACUGGAAGCCACACCCUGAUUGUCUGAGGCUGGUGUGGCCUGGGGUGAAAGGGCACUUGUUUAUUUUCACAUCGAAGCUAAAGGUCAAGUGAUGCCCGGCGAGUGACAGUUUGAAAAGCAAUAAUAGUUUUUUUGAAAGGCAGGUAAUUCAGAAAUAUGAAGGCCUUGAAACAAGGGGGAGUCCAAUCCCUGCUAGUCUCUUCCGGCUGAGUAAGUCGCUGUUGGAUUUGCUUCUGUUUCAAAGCCUGUGUGGGAAGCUGUCUUCUCUUCCCCGCUGGCCCCAUCAGAAACAAUGGUGGGUGUUUACUGAUUGCAGAAAGAGGUGAGGAGGUUUUAAACCUGGACUUGGCCCAUCUUUUUAAAAUCACUGGAUGUUCCAUUCGCCUGGGAUAGCCUAUCUUUUGGAGUUCAUGGAUCAGGAAAAUAUUCUACAAAGUUUGAGGUACAUAGAAUUGUCCAUUUUUAUUUUAUCAAAUGUGUUUAUUAAAAGGAAAAUAUCUUAAACAUUUUAAAAAAUAUUUGUUUUGGUUUUGCUGGGUCUUAGUUGUGGCAGGUGGGUUCCUUAGUUGUGGCAUGUGAGCUCUUAGUUGCGGCAUGCAUGUGGAAUCUAGUUCCUGUGUUGGGAGCAAGAAGUCUCAUCACUGCGCCACCAGGGAAGUCCCAAAAGGAAAAUAUUUUAAAGAAUAUUGUUACACAGGUGAAAAAGAAGAAAGUAAGAGCAUAAAUCAGAAAAAUGGACAGUCCAUUAAACUGAAUGUAGUUAGCCUUUUUAAAAAUCCACUAUAAAAAAAAUCCACUAUAUUGACCUUUAUUUUCUUUCUUUUUUUUAAACACCCACAUUGUCAUGGCAGACUGGUGGAAACUCGAUAAGUGGCUCGGCCAUGGUGCACACAUCAGCAUUUAAAGGCCACUGACUUCGUGUUUGAGUACCAGAUGAUAAAAUUAGAUUGCGUCGUUUGUAGAAAAUUAAGUUCUUUAGCUAAACCAGAUGCUAAGCUUCUGCCCAGAAUCAGUAUACUGUUAGAAGUCUGGAAACUAAUAAACAUACCGUAACUAUUAAUUUAUGGAUGGGUUGUUGGCAGAUAACUUCAGAGAAGGAAUCCAGGCUUGAAACAGCUCUUGUAACACCAGAUGGAGUGUGUGAGUUUAAUCGAGUCCCGAGAAGGGAUAUCUGUACAGUGCCUAAAAAAAACAAAAACAAAAACAAAAAAAAAAACACUGGGAUCUGAGUUAGGCCUGAGAUAAGCUGAGAGAAGCAGGGAAAACUAGAACCUAAUUGAAACUGAUACAAGAAAUUAAGAGCCAUGCAAAGAAAACCAGAUGUUCUUUUAUGAUGAAGUGCGUUGGAGGGAAGCAGGGACAACUUAACCCACCCAGAAUCCAGUCACCUGGCAGCUUCACCCGAGGACAGGAGGCCCGAAGGAACCGGGCUGACUAACCAACUAAUGUCCUACACGUAGAGUGGUAGAGCUGGAGCGCUGUGCUCUUGGGGAAACUCUCCGGAUGACAGACCACACCCAUUGGACUCAGGCCAGGCAAUUCCUGAAGCUCCCCGCAUCGUGUGAUGAACAGUUUCCAGAUGGAGAGACAAGCCCAGAGUUGUCCGGGGACAACUUGCCCAAGGUCUCACGACUGGGCAGGAACCAGACCUCACCUGUCCCUGCUGCUGAUCCACCCCAAAGCAGAUUGAAGACACAAAUCCAGAGGAGGAAGGUGGGCACUGCGGUGACCCCUGCCGUCAGCCGGACAGCCCUCACUCAGCCUGAGAGCGAGAGGAGGAUAAAGCCUAGUUACCUGAACAACCAACCAACCAACCCUGGUGCAAAUAUUCAAGAAAUGGCAAUAUGGGUGAAAGAGUCCAACAAAUCUGAAGUCUUCCCUGCAUCACCGUGUAGACUGGCCUGUGUAAUGAGGCCCCUGAAUCCCACAGCGUUACCGAAUGUCUGCUGUGUGCCCGUAAGUGUUUAUCAGAAUAAAGUCAUACUUUGUUCACUA